AAUCAUCCAUAUUUAAAAAAAUAAUUUUCAAAUCAUGCAGGAUCCGAAAAUAUUUUCGGAUCCUGUGUGUCAACCCAGCGUGUUCGCCAGUCAUACUGGCGAACAUGCUGGUUCGACAACCAUGGUGGCGAACAAGGAGAUCCGUGCCACGGGAGCAGUGUCACUGCCGCAUGGCUUCCAUGUGGCGUGUUCGGCACCCAAGGUGCCGAACACGCCAAAUGCCGAACGCGCCAUAACUCUUCGGCACUUUCCAUGCAUCCAUCCCUUGGCGCUGCAUGCGUGCCUGGUGGGAUUGCAUGCGCGCCAAGUGAACUUGCAUGCACAGUCUCGAAAUUUUGGCUUUUAAUCUUUUGGCUUUUCAUGCAUCCCCAUUUUCCUCAUUUUUCAUUUCUGUAUUGUUUCUUUUCUUCUCCCUCUCCACACUUGUUCUACACUUCCUUCUCCAUACUUGCUCUACACUUUCUCCUCCAGCAUUUCACCUCCAGCAUACUGUGAUCUCUAUUUUCAUCUCCUUCUAUUUUUCAAAACAUCUCACUGUUAUAAGGUUUUUCUAUAAACUGAUUUUUAUUUUUAAAUGUGUAUAUAAUUUUUUUAUAUAUAAUUUUUUUUGACAUAUAAAAAUAAAAAUAAAAAUUAUAAUUUAAUAUGUG
rnacentral:lncRNA from 1 species